UUUAUGCCAAUUCUAGACAACUCCAGAUGUGUGUCUUUCCCACCAGUAUCUGCAGAGACUUGGCUCUGGAGAUAGAAUUAUGCUUGCCAACAGGCAGCGUCCCUGUGCCUUCAGACCCAAGGGUCGAGUUCCUGCUGCCACACUUUCAUCCCUGGCUCUGCUGCCAGAUGUGCUGUGGGAUGGAGGGCAGACAUGCUGGCCCUGAGUCUAAUCUGUCAUCAGCUGAGAGGCUGCUGGCUCCCGCAGUGCCUGUGAACCAAAGCUGCUCUGUUUGUUCCUCUCCCUUCGUCCUGAGCCAGGCAGUGCCAGAAGGAGGGAUUUCUUCUUAAGGAGCUGGGAAAAAUGAACCGACUAAUAGAUACGGUGAGACUGAGAAGGGCUACUGCAGGUUGAAAAGACAGAU